rnacentral:sRNA from 1 species
ACACAUAUACGAGAGUACCUCUCAAAUGGAUACAUCCAUCUAAAAUGAACCGGUCCACCCAACCGAGCCUCCCUAGCCAGAUGUAGUGGAAGAUGAAACAUGAUGUCAAAAAGCAAUGGAGGAAAGAACCUCUCCAGUUGACACAAUGUCUCUACAAGCUCAGACUCUAAGGUUAUCAGCUUUUCAACGUCAAUAACACGCUGAUACAAUCUGUUAAAGAAGUUGCAUAAUCUACUUACUGCAAACCUAGGUCUUUUUGGAAGCAAACCUCUCAAAACAACAUGUAGUAGAUUCUGAAGAAGCACUUGGUUGUUAGGAGACAAAAGGUUUAUAGAAUUAAAAAAAAA